UACGUAGGGUGCAAGCGUUUGUCCGGAAUUAUUGGGCGUAAAGAGCUCGUAGGCGGUGUGUCGCGUCGGCCGUGAAAACCUGCAGCUUAACUGUGGGCUUGCGGUCGAUACGGGCAUCACUGGAGUUCGGCAGGGGAGACUGGAAUUCCUGGUGUAGCGGUGAAAUGCGCAGAUAUCAGGAGGAACACCGGUGGCGAAGGCGGCUCUCUAGUACGGUACUGACGCUGAGACGCGAAAGCGUGGGGAGCGAACAGG
rnacentral:rRNA from 1 species